CCUACGGGUGGCAGCAGUGAGGAAUAUUGGUCAAUGGGCGGAAGCCUGAACCAGCCAAGUAGCGUGCAGGAUGACGGCCCUACGGGUUGUAAACUGCUUUUAUACGGGAAUAACGCGCCUUACGUGUAGGGCUUUGCAUGUACCGUAUGAAUAAGGACCGGCUAAUUCCGUGCCAGCAGCCGCGGUAAUACGGAAGGUCCGGGCGUUUUCCGGAUUUAUUGGGUUUAAAGGGAGCGUAGGCCGCAUGUCAAGGGUGCUGUGAAAUGUCCGGGCUCAACCCGGGGCUUGCAGCGCGAAGGGGAGUGAUUGAGUGCGCGGAAGGCAGGCGGAAGUCGUGGUG
rnacentral:rRNA from 1 species